UAGGGAAUCUUCCACAAUGGGCGCAAGCCUGAUGGAGCAACACCGCGUGAGUGAAGAAGGGUUUCGGCUCGUAAAGUUCUGUUGUUAAAGAAGAACACGUAUGAGAGUAACUGUUCAUACGUUGACGGUAUUUAACCAGAAAGUCACGGCUAACUACGUGCCAG
rnacentral:rRNA from 1 species